ensembl:lncRNA
AAAUGAUGGAUUUUGGACUCACCGUGAUGUAUAACUGUGCUCGUUCUAUAGGAUCAUAAACAGUGUUACAUGAACAGGUCAACACUCAGCUCGUAGAAGGAGAGACCAUGGGGUUAAAGUGUCUUCGAACUCUGGCUGGAGCCAUCCUGCUGGUGGCCAGACCACUUCACUGACACCUCCAUAUUGCAUCAUCAACAGUGAGAAGGCAGUGUUGAAAUACAACAAGUUAUUCUCUUAGACCACUACAAUAUCCUGCUCACUGGCUGAUUUCUCCCUACUGUUGAAAUAUUGCAUCUUUACAGAGAAGAAGAGUUUUCUGCCUCUUGGAGAUUUGUCUGCCUGGAUCUUAAUAAAAAUCUCCACCAGCAUUUGCAUCUUUCUGCCCAUUUCGCUCAUGUGACAGCCGAUGUGGCUGCACGUUUUAAUUCCAGCCUUUCAGGAGGCACACGUGAUAAUUGACUGGAGGCCAUGAUGAACUCAUUAAACAAGUGAAAUCAAAUCUGCUUGUUUGGAAUGAAAUCCUACAGUCAUACUGGCCCUUUGUUGAUACAACUGAAGACCCCUGAUGUAAAGUAUGAAUAGAGCAGUGAUUCUGGGAUUUUGAAAGUCAAGUAGUGUGGCCUAGGCAUUUGUAAUGUUUUAAACAAAAAACUUUGCCUGCUGAUUAGAUAUAUGUUGUGUGAGAGGUCACAGAGUCCAGUGUGUGCAUGUAUUUGUGUUCUUGGCCCAUAGAGUGCUGUAAUAGUAUGUAUUUGUGCAGUAAUAACAUCCUCACAUUGUGUGGCGUGAACCACGCCUAGGGCACACUACAUGACUUUGCCAAGGGUGAAAAGUGGAUUAUUUAUAAAGACAAUAUGCAAAGAUUCUUUCUUCUGAACAUUUCUGGGCACUAAAUUAAAUAUUAAUUUAAAAUUAAUAAAAAAUUGUCAUUACCAGUCAGGUCUAGUCCAAAUUAUUAUUUAUGAGUUUAAUUAUUAUAAUUGUUUGUCAGUCAUUUCAAAUAAACUGCUCAAUAAUAAAUUAAAAUUUUAAUUGAUCAGUAUUGUUUUGCUCAUUCC